GUUGGUCCCGGUGCAACACCUCCUGCCCACUCCCUCACAGGAAUGAAAUGCUCUCAGAGACCCUGAGUACCUGCCACGCCCAGCCCUCCUGGGCAGAAAUACCACUAUCCUCCUGAUGGACAUGGAGUCCUCCUGCAACUUCUCCAUGGCUGCCCACCUGUGCAUAAGGGCAGCCUGCAGGCUUCGGUGACCAUCAUCCCAACACUAAAUUCCUUGUCUACGCUGCUGAUCAUCAGCUGCAUCUAUGGAAGACAUGCGGACGGCGGUCCCGACUCACCCGUCCCAGCCCACCAUCCCCAUGAAGGACCCAGUACCUGAAACAGUGCCUGUCAGAGAAGGCACUUUGUCAAUACAUGCUGAAAUGUGAUCUGAUGAAGCAGAGUGCACUACACCAAACACUUGGGAAACCUUGAGGAGUGCCUUUUAAAACUCCUCCCCAGUGACCUGUAUGCUGGAAACACUUCAGA
rnacentral:lncRNA from 1 species